rnacentral:rRNA from 1 species
UACGUAGGCAGCGAGCGUUUGUUCGGAGUUACUGGGCGUAAAGAGUGUGUAGGCGGUUUUCUAAGUUUGGUGUGAAAUCUCCCGGCUUAACUGGGAGGGUGCGCCGAAAACUGGAAGGCUUGAGUAUGGGAGAGGUAAGCGGAAUUCCUGGUGUAGCGGUGAAAUGCGUAGAUAUCAGGAGGAACACCUGCGGUGUAGACGGCUUACUGGACCAUAACUGACGCUGAGGCACGAAAGCGUGGGUAGCAAACAGG